rnacentral:tRNA from 7 species
UCCACAGUAGCUCAGUGGUAGAGCUAUCGGCUGUUAACCGAUCGGUCGUAGGUUUGAGUCCUACCUGUGGAGCCA